ACGACUAUAAUCACGGUGGUAAACCCUAGGGUAGAAACUAAUCUGGGCUGUAAAAAGCCACAAGCUACAAUAAUCAUAACCCUAAAUUCCACACCACUUUAACUCGCAAAAGCUGGGACAUAAACUAGGAUUAGAUACCCUACUAUACCCAACCGCAACACACAAUAAAAUUACCAAUUGUUCGCCAAACAACUACGAGUAGUAACUUAAAACUUAAAAGACUUGACGGUACUUCACUACAUCCUAGAGGAGCCUGUCUAAUAACCGACAACCCACGAUUAACCCUACCCUAUCUUGCCAACAGUCUAUAUACCACCGUCGCAAGCUUACCUUGUAAGAGAACCACAGUGAGCUCAACAGCCCAACUCUAAUACGACAGGUCGAGGUGUAACUAAUGAAAGGGUCACAGAUGGGCUACAUUCUCUUUCUAGAGAAUACGGAUAACACUAUGAACAUAGUGUUUGAAGGAGGAUUUAGCAGUAAGAUGGGAAUAAACUACCUAACUGAACAUUUCGCAAUGAAGUGCGUACACACCGCCCGUCACCCCUGCAAC
rnacentral:rRNA from 1 species